GACGAACGCUGGCGGCGUGCUUAACACAUGCAAGUCGAACGAAGAGCGAUGGAAGCUUGCUUCUAUCAAUCUUAGUGGCGAACGGGUGAGUAACGCGUAAUCAACCUGCCCUUCAGAGGGGGACAACAGUUGGAAACGACUGCUAAUACCGCAUACGAUCUAAUCUCGGCAUCGAGGAUAGAUGAAAGGUGGCCUCUACAUGUAAGCUAUCACUGAAGGAGGGGAUUGCGUCUGAUUAGCUAGUUGGAGGGGUAACGGCCCACCAAGGCGAUGAUCAGUAGCCGGUCUGAGGGGAUGAACGGCCACAUUGGGACUGAGACACGGCCCAGACUCCUACGGGAGGCAGCAGUGGGGAAUCUUCCGCAAUGGACGAAAGUCUGACGGAGCAACGCCGCGUGAGUGAUGACGGCCUUCGGGUUGUAAAGCUCUGUUAAUCGGGACGAAAGGCCUUCUUGCGAA
rnacentral:rRNA from 1 species